GGUUGAUCCUGCCAGUAGUCAUAUGCUUGUCUCAAAGAUUAAGCCAUGCAUGUCUAAGUAUAAACAAAUCUAUACUGUGAAACUGCGAAUGGCUCAUUAAAUCAGUUAUAGUUUAUUUGAUAAUACCUACUACUUGGAUAACCGUGGUAAUUCUAGAGCUAAUACAUGCACAAAAGCCCAACCGUAUGGAAGGGCUGUAUUUAUUAGAUACAAAACCAAUGCGGGGCAACCCGGUUCUUUGGUGAUUCAUAAUAACUUCGCGAAUCGCAUGGCCUUGUGCUGGCGAUGAUUC
rnacentral:rRNA from 1 species